UACGGAGGGUGCAAGCGUUAUCCGGAAUCAUUGGGUUUAAAGGGUGCGUAGGUGGUUUUGUAAGUCAGUGGUGAAAGCCCGGAGCUUAACUCCGGAACUGCCAUUGAUACUGCUUAACUUGAAUCAACUUGAGGUGGAUGGAAUAAUACAUGUAGCGGUGAAAUGCUUAGAUAUGUAUUAGAACACCGAUUGCGAAGGCAGUUCACUAAGGUUGUAUUGACACUGAGGCACGAAAGCGUGGGGAUCGAACAGG
rnacentral:rRNA from 1 species